rnacentral:rRNA from 1 species
CCUACGGGGGGCUGCAGUGGGGAAUAUUGGACAAUGGGCGAAAGCCUGAUCCAGCCAUGCCGCGUGUGUGAAGAAGGCCUUCGGGUUGUAAAGCACUUUCAGUGGGGAAGAAAGCCUUGGGGCUAAUACCCUCGAGGAAGGACAUCACCCACAGAAGAAGCACCGGCUAACUCCGUGCCAGCAGCCGCGGUAAUACGGAGGGUGCGAGCGUUAAUCGGAAUUACUGGGCGUAAAGCGCGCGUAGGCGGUCUGAUAAGCCGGUUGUGAAAGCCCCGGGCUCAACCUGGGAACGGCAUCCGGAACUGUCAGGCUAGAGUGCAGGAGAGGAAGGUAGAAUUCCCGGUGUAGCGGUGAAAUGCGUAGAGAUCGGGAGGAAUACCAGUGGCGAAGGCGGCCUUCUGGACUGACACUGACGCUGAGGUGCGAAAGCGUGGGUAGCAAACAGGAUUAGAUACCCCAGAGUC